rnacentral:tRNA from 1 species
AGGAUAUUAGUUAAUAAAUUUAUAACAUUUUAAUUGCAUUAAAAAAUAAUAUUUAAUUUUAUAUAUCUUA